rnacentral:lncRNA from 1 species
CCAGUGAUGAUGAUCAUGUGAUAAACAUUGAUGAUGAUGAUGAAGAUUGGCACCGCCAACAAAGAAAACAGAAGUACAGGACAAUGCGAAUGGCGCCAAAUAAAUUGCUAUUUCUAUUAACCAACAUCAGAUCUGAGGUAAGUUUGGUUUCUUCCAUUCAUGGCCUUACCGGGUUCAAGUUACCGGAAUCCACCAUGAAUCUCGCCCAUUUUCAUCCGUAACCAAGAAAAAUAUCCUAGCUGGAUGGCAUACGAUUUCACCAUAAAAGUCAACUACUUUCUUCAUAUAGUGAUGGCAACUGUCUAAUAUCCUAGCGAUACAACAUAAAUUUUCAAAACAAGCUGCCUGGUUCUCAGCACUCAAAUAAACAUGCUUAGUCUAAUACAUGAUACAGAAGUGAAGAUCAAAACAGAAUAAAACUGGUUAAAUGAAAUGUCCCUGAAUCUAGAAAGUAUUCUGUGGAUUAAUCCUCCUCCUACCUUCUCGUCUAUAAUAUGGUGUUUCAUCUACUGUUCUUCUAACAUAAUCUAUAAAAGGUUGUGGAGUUCUCGGAGAUUGUUCAGUGAUAACAGAAGGAUUGCUCCUAUCAGGUGUUCCAGGGGCUGCAAUGCUUGGAGCAGCUGGAGCAUUUGAUGACUGAGAUCUAUAUGUUCUUCUAUCCAGGAGUCCUAUCAGGAUGAUCAACGUCAAGAUUAGAACGGCAAAGCUUACAAGCAUUUUCACCCAAAAGGUUAUAUUUGUGGUUGUUCCUAAUGCUGCUCUUUCCCCAGGUUCAUAGCUAAGAUCAAUUUCCUUUCUUUGACCUGUAAAACAGUUGAAUAGCAGAUGAAUUUUUUUCCUCCAAGUCAUUUUCCCUCUCUCAAAUAAAACUUUAUGUUUGCAGAUAACAGGGCGCAGGAGAAGAAAGCUCACCAUUGGCUGGUAGUGUGAUAAUAAUCUUAUCCCUGAAUCUCUCAUUUCUUAGCAC